rnacentral:lncRNA from 1 species
GUUCAGCCUAUCAUUUGAGAUCCGAGUAUGAUUGGGGAAAUAUCCUGAAAUAGUCUAUGAUUUGAAGAAAUGGAUAGAUGGCUAGAAUAACAUGCUAGAUGGUAGUCAAGUUACUAACUGCAGAAUUGAUUUGAUAAAAUUCUCAUCGUGUCUCCUGACUUAGGAGAAAUAUUGGGUCUGAUGAAUGGGUAAAAUUCCCAGGUGAAAAGAAUUUGGUCUGUAAGAUUUGGCAGCACCCUGAGGUUUGCCAUAUCUGAUGGCCUGGCUUUAGUGGCAGCACCUAGUGAAGGCCCAGGUGUCCUUCUGACAACCUUUACCACCUACCGUUUUGUCCUUACUUAUGUUGAAUCACUACACACAGGCUGUUGAAUUCAGCUGUCUGUGGAGAAAUUAUACCAACCACAUGGUUAGACAGAAGGAAUACAAUAUAUUGCUUAAUUUGUAUCUGAAAGCUAAGCAACAUGGAAAAAAAUCAAGCAUGCUCAGUCACUUCCAUGAGGACAAACGAAGACACUUCAAGGAGGACAUUGACAUGGAUCUGCCAGCUUUCUAAGACUUUCCCCAGAUUCAAGUCCAGUCACAUCAAGUUGCCUUAUUAAAGGGUCUGCCCACUCAAAAGGAGAAAGUGCAAAAGAUGCUCAGCAAGGAAUAUCCAGCACAAUAAGCAUUGAAGAAACAAAUGGCAACGCAAGCUUAAAGAAUUCCAAGCCAUUAUGAACUGACUCUUCAAAUAAGUGCUUAUUUUCACAUAACCAGGGAGUUUCUGGAUUAACUUCCAUAUAAGACAUAUUUAUUAAAAGAUUUGCACCCCUAUUGCUGGCACUGGGUGGACCUCCCCAAACGCUCUGCCCUUGGUGCUCUUCUGCCGGUUAUUCUCGUCCAUGACCCCAGAGCCAGGGAGAAUCUCACCAGUGCAGCCCAGGGCACUUCUGAUAACAUCUGAGCAGAGUGAAGGAGAAGAAACGCACGAGGCAGGCAUCUCAUUUAUGGAAGUGCUCCUCUGGGUCAAGCCCUCUGCCAAUAAUUUUCAUGCAUAAUGGCCCUUUCAUUCUCCCCAAAAAUUCUUCAAGGGAGGGUGAUAAUCCCAGGAUAUGGAAACAAGGAAAAGCAGACUACAAGAAGUUAAGUGACCUCCCCAAUGACCCGCUGCUCAUAAAUGGUAGUAUCAGAAUUAAAACCCAGAUGAGGCUGCCCAGGACUGAGGUUUGUGUUACCCCCCGAAGGUGCGCACCAUGGAGAAUGGCCUGGAGUUUCCUGGCUGCAUGUAAGUGCAGGAAGACAUGCUAAGGGUACCACCGCUCUCAGUAGAGCAAGCACACUUCUCUCGGGCUCUUUCCUGAAUUCAAGUAAUCACACCUCGCACACCAACCCACUGCCAAGAAAGAGCUUUUAUUUGACUCAGGAGGUAGAGAAAGUUUCACUGAAGGAUUUCUAAAUUUGUUCUCUUUCUUUCUUCCUUCCUUUUCUUUCUUCCUUCUUUCCUUCCUUUCUCUUUUCUUUCUUUUGUUCAUUCUCUUUCAUUUUUCUUUCUUUUUUUCUUUCUCUUUCUUUCCCUUGUCCAUUCAUUCGCCUUUCCUUUCUUUAUUUUUCUUGGCUUUUUUCUUUCAU